rnacentral:rRNA from 1 species
GGCUCAGAUUGAACGCUGGCGGCAUGCUUUACACAUGCAAGUCGGACGGCAGCACAGAGAAGCUUGCUUCUUGGGUGGCGAGUGGCGAACGGGUGAGUAACAUAUCGGAACGUACCGAGCAGUGGGGGAUAACUAAUCGAAAGAUUAGCUAAUACCGCAUAUAUUCUGAGGAAGAAAGCAGGGGACCAUUUGGCCUUGCGCUGUUUGAGCGGCCGAUAUCUGAUUAGCUAGUUGGUGGGGUAAAGGCCUACCAAGGCGACGAUCAGUAGCGGGUCUGAGAGGAUGAUCCGCCACACUGGGACUGAGACACGGCCCAGACUCCUACGGGAGGCAGCAGUGGGGAAUUUUGGACAAUGGGCGCAAGCCUGAUCCAGCCAUGCCGCGUGUCUGAAGAAGGCCUUCGGGUUGUAAAGGACUUUUGUCAGGGAAGAAAAGGGCGGGGUUAAUACCCCUGUCUGAUGACGGUACCUUUGUUAAGAAGCACCGGCUAACUAC